GCUCAUAUAAUAUGUUCACACACGUCUUUCAACUUAUCAUACAUACAUAUCUGUGAACGUCAAAAUACUUAAUCAAUAUUGAUUCUUUAGGGACACUCACUAAAUAAGCUUAAUGCACGAUAAUGUGACAGAGGCGAUCUCAUACGAAAUUUACAUAUCUGUUUAGCUACUCUUGAUUGUUGGCAUCAAAAACAAUUGCUUGUUUUCUGCUUUCACAUUCCAAUGUUUAUGCAGCUACUUCGCAAAUAGCCCGCGAUAUAUCGAGUAAUAUCGGAGCUUAUGAUGUAAAUACAGAAAUACCAAAUGGGCUCAUGCUGUAUAUACUCGUAUUAUGAUAAAUAACACUGUGGAACAAAUUCAGGUUAGCAAAAAUUAGGUCCAUUCUGAGAGUGGCGGGUGAAAAUAGAGGCGAAAUUAGAAGACCCGCAUCGCGCCGUUUUUUUAUGUUAGUUCGAAUUUUUUUUAAUCGGCCUUAUCACGCACUCCAUCGUAUACUGUUUUUCGGAGAAGUUACUACAAAAGCAUUCAUGCAUUUCGAACAACUCCGAACGUAAAUUCGAAAAUCGGAGAAUAGCAUUCACUGAGCACACUCUAAAUGUCAAAUUGUCACAUUUCCCACAAUUUUUCUACGACAAGUUUUUGUAAGCGGAAAAUCCACGAAAAAUUGAAAUAAAUUAAAAUAAAGUGAAAAAAUUAUAAAAAUGUCCAAAAUAACAACAAGGCAACAGUAUGCGGCUUUGCUGGAGUUGCUGCAAGAAAAGCCCUCUAUGGCACACGGCUUUUCAAAAUGCUCUAAGGAAGAAGCGACUGAGUUUUGGAAAAAGGUGGACAGAAAGACAUCACUAGCUGGAAAAAGGUAUGGCUAGACUGGAAGGCAUAUAUUAAAAGGAAGCUAGCGGAAAACAAAAUAUGUAGAACAGAGGGCUACUGGUGGCGGUCGAAACAGGCAGCACCAUUUCAAUGAAAUGGAGGAAGCUGUCAUCCGAUUGACUGCACUAGAGACUACCACGAAUGGAAUUGAAAACACUGUGAGUGUUGGGCUACCUGUUGCAGGCGAUUUUGAAGCUGAGAUCGGGGCUGACGUGUCAAUGACGUCAUCGAGCCGCAGUCCAGCACUUCCGAGACGUAUUUCCUCUGCGCGCAAACCAACUGAUACAAGUACAGCAGAAGUACUUCAAGACCAUUUUUUGCUUCAAAAGGAAUUUCAGGAAAAGACCAUAGCACACUAUUCAAUACAGGAACAAAAGCUGGAAGAUAUUUGUUCCGGUAUACGACGAUUAUACCUAGCAAUGGAAAAGCACUACGACCUGAAGAAUGCAGAAGUGGAAGAAACCCAUAGACACAACCAAUCCAUGGAAGAUUUGAUCAAUGCUAAAAAUUCAAUAAAAAACAAAUGUUAUUAGUUGGGCAAAAAAGCUUAAAUGCGAUUUCCAAA